GAGUUUGAUCUUGGCUCAGGAUGAACGCUGGCGGCGUGCUUAACACAUGCAAGUCGAACGAAGCACCCUCACGGAUUUUCUUCGGAACUGAAGUGAUCGUGACUGAGUGGCGGACGGGUGAGUAACGCGUGGGUAACCUGCCCCAUACAGGGGGAUAACAGCCGGAAACGGCUGCUAAUACCGCAUAAGCGCACGGUGCCGCAUGGCACAGUGUGAAAAACUCCGGUGGUAUGGGAUGGACCCGCGUCUGAUUAGCCAGUUGGUGGGUAACGGCCCACCAAAGCAACGAUCAGUAGCCGGCCUGAGAGGGCGACCGGCCACAUUGGGACUGAGACACGGCCCAGACUCCGUACGGGA
rnacentral:rRNA from 1 species